CAGAAUUACAGUAUAUACAGAUAUGCGAUACAGAUGUACAGUUUUGUGCAAAAUGGAAGUGUAUUUUGUGCAAAUGAAAAUUAGAAGGGAUGUACAGAGGUAGAUAAUAAAUAGGUUUAUAAUAUAUUUAUGUUGUAGUCACACUGUAUGAACAAUUAAAAGACCCUAUUGGCAGUUUUAACUGUUCGGGUGGAAGUUUGCCUGAUGGAAAAAGCUGUUCUUGUGCCAGGCUAUUCGGGUGCUCAGUGCUCUGUAGCGCUGGCCAGAGGGCAACAGUUCAAAGAGAAAGUGAGCUGGGUGUGUGGGGUCCAAAGUGAUUUUCAUAGCCCUUUUUUUCACUCUGGAGGUGUAAAAUUCUUGGAGGUUUGGCAAAAGGGCACCAGUAAUUCUUUUAGCAGUCCUGACUGUCAGUUGUAGUUUCCUUCUGUUUGAUUUGGUGGCUGAACAGCUGAACAGUUUUAAAACAGCCAUGAAUUGGUAAUAAUAAUAAAUGUGAGGAUGCUGAGGACAAUUAAUUUGCUAGUAACUGUUUUGCAGUAUGUGUACACAUAAUCAUUGUGUCAAGUUUGGUUUAAUCAAGGCAAGAAAAGGCAAGGAUCUGACUGCAGCAGUCUUUUAUUAAGAAAAACAAAACAAAACACAAGAACAAUGCAAGCCAACUUAAACAAUGAUAAGUACAGACAAUCACAGGUAGAAAACAAGGAACAAAUCAGUAACUAUUACAAUUAAUGAAACAGGAACCAAAGGGAACAGAAAUACAACUACGCAACAGUACCCCCUUCCGAAACGUGGCUGCUGACACCUACAUAGAACAGGAAAAACAACAAGGAACAGUUCAGGUGGGUGAUGUCAGGAAGGAGGGCCAGGGCCAUGGAAGGGGAAUAACUCUGUUCCCAGGUGGAGAUGUCCAUGGAGGAGAAGUUGGAGGAAUGGACCACAGCGGAGCUGGUGGGGGAAAUCAUGGCGGAACCGGCAGAGACUUACAAAGCAGAGACUUAGGCGGUGCAGUACAGGGUGGAGCCAGGGAGAUGGAGAACUUGGGUGAAGGCAAUGGACCGGAGGCCCAAGGUGGAGCCAGGGGAUCCAAGGACCAAGGCGGAGCUGGGGGCUGGGAAGACUAAAUCCUUGUUAGACUGUCAGUCCAUUUAAUAGAGGUAAAUUAAUUAAAUAUUUCACUAAACAGUAGGAGUAUUGCACUAAGAGAGGCCUUGGAAAGCAUUUAACUGUUCAGGAAACUGUUCAAAACUAUUCUUCUGCAGUACUGUACUUGCUGGCCUUCUAGGCUCAGAGGAUCCAGAGUGCUUUGAAUUAAAGUUUUGCCUAUACAAAUACAUGUACAAAUAAAAUUGUACUUAUUAAACUUUUACGAAUUGCAGAGUCAAUUACAAUUAAUCUAUUCAGAAAGUUACUUCUUCAUUCAAGAUUUACCACAUUAGGAAAUGCGUACUUCUCCGUGACAUCCUUUCACCUAUAUGAGGAACGAAACCAUGGCAUUCGUUCCUCAUAUUCAAUGAUCGCUAACAAGGCUGGCUCACACUUUUAUGACCAGUUGAGAUCACUCAAGAUGAGUUUCUUCACUCUAAGUGCUUUCAUGAUAUAUUUGUUCAUAGGUGCUGGAGAAUCAUGCACAAAAAUUACAGAGAAUCUGCACUACUCAUGCAUGGGAAGAAACCUCAGCUCCAUACCACCAUGUAUUCCUUCAUCUGUUCAAACUCUGGAUUUCAGUUUUAAUGUUUUGAAACACUUACAGAAGACUGUAUUCCCAGUUUUGUCUUUUCUGCGAGUUCUUGAUCUGUCAAGAUGCCACAUCAAGCACAUUGAAAAUGAUGCUUUCUACAAUGUGAAGAAUUUGACUACUUUGAUUCUCACUGGAAACCCUGUUACAUAUUUUGGACCUGGAUGCUUGAAUUCUUUACAUAAUCUACAGAGACUAGAUCUUGUGGAUGUUGGUCUUGCGUCCUUACCGCUUCAAAUGAAUAACCUAACCAAGCUACAGGAACUUAGAGUUGGAACAAAUAACAUCCAGUCCGUGUCUCUCCCUCCAUUCAUGAGCUCCUUUAAAGAGUUCAGUUUACUUGAUCUACAUGCCAAUAAUAUAUCCAUCAUCAAAACUGAUCACACAGUUGUGUUGCGAAAGAUUGGCAGAAACAUGACUUUGAUUCUCUCUAGGAAUCCAUUAUUAUACAUUGAACCAGGAGCUUUCAAAGAUGUUUAUCUCAGACAGCUGGAUGUCCGAUCUGCCUUUGUUUCAUUUGCAGCUCACAGUGUUGGUCUAAAAGCUCUAUAUGGUCUUAAUGUCAAAAGGCUGAUGUUUGGAAAUAACAGGGAUGAUUAUAAGAUUUUCCCACCAGAUUCAGACUAUUUAGAUGGCCUUUGUUCUAUUUAUUUUCAUGAGGUAUAUUAUUACAUAAAAGAAAGGCCUAGUGGGCAAAUUAAUAUCUUUCGCUGUAUGAUUAACGCCACAAUUAUAGCUGUGAAGGGUGGUCUAAUUCGUGGUAUUCCGUAUGUGACAUUUAAUAAAAUUAAGGAGCUUUACUUGAUUCAAAAUCAGUUAGAUACUGUGCCAGGUAGACUACUUUCACAUCUUCAUACCUUUAGAAAAAGUAGUAUUUACACGCAACGUUGCAACCCAAGUUGAAACCUUUAUAGACAUGCCUAAGCUUCAGUACCUGGAUCUGAGUUCAAACCAAAUUACAUUAUCAUCAUGCUGCACAGAAGUUUUGUUGAACACCCCUCAAAUCAGGUAUCUAAAUUUGAGUUUGAAUCCACAAAUCUGUCUUUCUUUUGAAGCAUUUGUUGGACUUGAUUCCCUUGAAAUUCUAGAUUUCCAUCAUACAAGGGUUGUAAGUAUGGGGCACCUUUCAAUUUUGUCAAACUUAAAGUAUUUGAGGUAUCUGGAUGUUUCUUAUUCAAGUAUCAUCUUUACUAACAUAUAUUGCUUUUAUGGACUGAGCAGUCUUAAUGUUCUCAAGAUAGCUGGCAGUAAUUUUCAGGGUGAUGUAGUAAGAUAUUUAUUUAACAAUCUCACAGUUCUAGAGCACCUUGACAUGUCAUACUGUCGUAUGGUAGAGGUACACUCGAGCUCUUUUAAAAAUCUUCAAAGCCUUAGACAUUUGAAUCUCAGAGGAAACAAUUUAAUGGCUAUAGAUUUUCUUACCCACUCAAACCUGAAACAAUUAACAUCAUUUUAUGUCGAUAAAAACAGCAUUACUAGCAUCCCACUUGAUGUUCUCCAAAAGCUGCCAACAAGCCUUUCAGAGUUUGAUUUGUCCUCCAACCCCAUCGAUUGCUCCUGUUCCCAGACAGAUUUUAUUUUCUGGAUUAUCCAAAAUCAGAACAUUUUGAAGCAACCAGGAAAUAUUUUCUGUAAAUCUUUUUCACCAAGCUCAGAUUUUAGAGCAACAGACUUUGACAUUGACAGCUGUGUGCACAAGAAAAGACUCGCAAUCAUUUUAUCAGUAUGUUUUGUUACAUUAGUAGUCGUGUUAUCAGUCUUGGCUUAUAGGUUCCAGUUUUAUCUUCAGUAUUGCUGUAUUCUACUGAGAGGCUACAGAUCACCUGGACAACAAGAGUGUUCCUAUGAUGCAUUUGUGAUUUUCUCCAGCUAUGAUGAAGCCUGGGUCAUGAAUGAACUGAUGGAGAAUCUGGAGAACGGUGUUCCACCUAUUCAUCUUUGCCUUCACAUGCGGGACUUUCAAGCAGGGAAGUCCAUCGCCUCCAACAUUAUCGAUGAAGGAAUAAUGGGCAGCCGUAAAGUCAUUGUGGUUGUGUCUCAACACUUCAUUGAUAGCGCCUGGUGUCGCUUUGAGUUUGAAUUGGCUCAGUCCCGGUUUAUGAUGGAACGCAAUGCCAACAUCAUCAUCAUCAUUCUGGAAGAUGUGGAAGAGAGGAAGACUAAGAAAGUGUUUGGUCUUCAUAAGCAUCUGAAAAGGAACACAUACCUGAAGUGGAGCAGGGACCCUUUGAGUAACAUGAGAUUCUGGAUACGGCUCAGGAGAGCUAUUAUUUCCACAAAGCAAUAAUAUUACAUAUUCUAUGGAUAUAUUAUAUGUUUUGAAUAAAUAAACUUUUGCACAAAU